AUUGAACGCUGGCGGCAGGCCUAACACAUGCAAGUCGAGCGGAUGAUUCGUGCUUGCUCCUGGAUUCAGCGGCGGACGGGUGUGUAAUUCCUAGGAAUCUGCCUUGUCGUGUGGGAUAACGUCCUUAAACGGGCUCUAAUACCGCAUACGUCCUUAGGUAGAUAGUGGGUGUUCUUCGGACCUUUCGCUUUCUGAUGAGCCUAGGUCGGAUUAGCUAGUUGGUUGGGUAAAGGCAUACAAAGGCGAAGAUCCGUAACUGGUAUGAGAGGAUGAUCAGUAACACUGGAAAGGAGAAACGGACAAGAGGAAUACGGGAGGCAGCAGAGGGGAAUAUUGGACAAUGGGCGAAAGAAUGAUCCAGAAAUGCCGAGUGUGUGAAGAAGGAAUUCGGAUUGUAAAGAAAUUUAAGUUGGGAGGAAGAGCAGUAAGUUAAUACAUGGCUGUAUUGACGUUAACAAAAGAAUAAGCAACGGCUAACUUCGUG
rnacentral:rRNA from 1 species